AUACCGACUCCGUCCUGUCACGGCUAUUCAAAAUCCUGCAUUUGGGGGUUGUAGGCGCCUUCACUAUUCUGGGACCUAAUUUCGAUUCAUCAAGCCCCACGACAAGGACGAAUCAGUACCAGAACACUAGCUUCGUUCUUAUGUCAUCGCGAGUUAUCCUGGUUCUUCAGUAUGGCUCCAUCUUAUGGUAUAUAAGAGGAUACAAACGUGCAGUUCUUCCAAUUCUGAUGGUUAUUGGUGCACUCUUUGUUACUGCAAUGUCGUACAUGGGUCUCGCAUUUGCUGCAAUAAGAUCUAGCGGGAAUCUUGCCUUCGUUGCAUGGUAUGUGAUUGGGGCAGUGGAGGCAAUAUUUAUGGUAUCUAUAUCAAGCUUUUGGGAAGUGCUUAGUUUCAAGGAGACUGCUAUCGUCCAAAGAUUUAAGAGCAUGACAUUGAUUAUCCUCGGAAUAGGCUUUGUUGGGAUGGCCAGAGCGGCCACCAGAGUUGCCCA
rnacentral:sRNA from 2 species